UACGGAGGGUGCGAGCGUUGUCCGGAAUCACUGGGCGUAAAGGGCGCGUAGGCGGCCUGGUAAGUAGGAGGUGAAAUCCUGCGGCUUAACCGCAGGGCUGCCUUCUAAACUGUCAGGCUCGAGCACAGUAUAGGCAGGUGGAAUUCCCGGUGUAGCGGUGGAAUGCGUAGAGAUCGGGAAGAACAUCAGUGGCGAAGGCGGCCUGCUGGGCUGUUGCUGACGCUGAGGCGCGACAGCGUGGGGAGCAAACAGG
rnacentral:rRNA from 1 species